rnacentral:rRNA from 1 species
GACGAACGCUGGCGGCGUGCUUAACACAUGCAAGUCGAACGGAAAGGCCCUGCUUUUGUGGGGUGCUCGAGUGGCGAACGGGUGAGUAACACGUGAGUAACCUGCCCUUGACUUUGGGAUAACUUCAGGAAACUGGGGCUAAUACCGGAUAGGAGCUCCUGCUGCAUGGUGGGGGUUGGAAAGUUUCGGCGGUUGGGGAUGGACUCGCGGCUUAUCAGCUUGUUGGUGGGGUAGUGGCUUACCAAGGCUUUGACGGGUAGCCGGCCUGAGAGGGUGACCGGCCACAUUGGGACUGAGAUACGGCCCAGACUGCUACGGGAGGCAGCAGUGGGGAAUAUUGCACAAUGGGCGGAAGCCUGAUGCAGCAACGCCGCGUGCGGGAUGACGGCCUUCGGGUGGUAAACCGCUUUCGCCUGUGACGAAGCGUGAGUGACGGUAAUGGGUAAAGAAGCACCGGCUAACUACGUG